rnacentral:rRNA from 1 species
CCUACGGGAGGCAGCAGUCGAGAAUCAUUCACAAUGGGGGAAACCCUGAUGGUGCGACGCCGCGUGGGGGAAUGAAGGUCUUCGGAUUGUAAACCCCUGUCAUGUGGGAGCAAAUUAAAAAGAUAGUACCACAAGAGGAAGAGACGGCUAACUCUGUGCCAGCAGCCGCGGUAAUACAGAGGUCUCAAGCGUUGUUCGGAAUCACUGGGCGUAAAGCGUGCGUAGGCUGUUUCGUAAGUCGUGUGUGAAAGGCGCGGGCUCAACCCGCGGACGGCACAUGAUACUGCGAGACUAGAGUAAUGGAGGGGGAACCGGAAUGCUCGGUGUAGCAGUGAAAUGCGGAGAUAUCGAGAGGAACACUCGUGGCGAAGGCGGGUUCCUGGACAUUAACUGACGCUGAGGCACGAAGGCCAGGGGAGCGAAAGGGAUUAGAUACCCUGGUAGUC